rnacentral:tRNA from 1 species
UCCCUGGAGGACUAGUGGUUAAGCCACAGCACUCUCACUGCUCCGGCCCGGGUUCGAUUCCCGGCCAGGGAA